rnacentral:rRNA from 1 species
GUUGGGUAGGGGAGCGUUCUGUAAGCCUGCGAAGGUGGCCUGUGAGGGUUGCUGGAGGUAUCAGAAGUGCGAAUGCUGACAUAAGUAACGAUAAAGCGGGUGAAAAGCCCGCUCGCCGGAAGACCAAGGGUUCCUGUCCAACGUUAAUCGGGGCAGGGUGAGUCGACCCCUAAGGCGAGGCCGAAAGGCGUAGUCGAUGGGAAACGGGUUAAUAUUCCCGUACUUGGUGUUACUGCGAAGGGGGGACGGAGAAGGCUAUGUUGGCCGGGCGACGGUUGUCCCGGUUUAAGCGUGUAGGUGUGUGUUCCAGGUAAAUCCGGUUCACUUUAACACUGAGGCGUGAUGACGAGGCACUACGGUGCUGAAGCAACAAAUGCCCUGCUUCCAGGAAAAGCCUCUAAGCAUCAGGUAACAUCAAAUCGUACCCCAAACCGACACAGGUGGUCAGGUAGAGAAUACCAAGGCGCUUGAGAGAACUCGGGUGAAGGAACUAGGCAAAAUGGUGCCGUAACUUCGGGAGAAGGCACGCUGACACGUAGGUGAAGUGAUUUACUCAUGGAGCUGAAGUCAGUCGAAGAUACCAGCUGGCUGCAACUGUUUAUUAAAAACACAGCACUGUGCAAACACGAAAGUGGACGUAUACGGUGUGACGCCUGCCCGGUGCCGGAAGGUUAAUUGAUGGGGUCAGCGCAAGCGAAGCUCCUGAUCGAAGCCCCGGUAAACGGCGGCCGUAACUAUAACGGUCCUAAGGUAGCGAAAUUCCUUGUCGGGUAAGUUCCGACCUGCACGAAUGGCGUAAUGAUGGCCAGGCUGUCUCCACCCGAGACUCAGUGAAAUUGAACUCGCUGUGAAGAUGCAGUGUACCCGCGGCAAGACGGAAAGACCCCGUGAACCUUUACUAUAGCUUGACACUGAACAUUGAGCCUUGAUGUGUAGGAUAGGUGGGAGGCUUUGAAGCGUGGACGCCAGUCUGCGUGGAGCCGACCUUGAAAUACCACCCUUUAAUGUUUGAUGUUCUAACGUGGACCCGUGAUCCGGGUUGCGGACAGUGUCUGGUGGGUAGUUUGACUGGGGCGGUCUCCUCCUAAAGAGUAACGGAGGAGCACGAAGGUUGGCUAAUCCUGGUCGGACAUCAGGAGGUUAGUGCAAUGGCAUAAGCCAGCUUGACUGCGAGCGUGACGGCGCGAGCAGGUGCGAAAGCAGGUCAUAGUGAUCCGGUGGUUCUGAAUGGAAGGGCCAUCGCUCAACGGAUAAAAGGUACUCCGGGGAUAACAGGCUGAUACCGCCCAAGAGUUCAUAUCGACGGCGGUGUUUGGCACCUCGAUGUCGGCUCAUCACAUCCUGGGGCUGAAGUAGGUCCCAAGGGUAUGGCUGUUCGCCAUUUAAAGUGGUACGCGAGCUGGGUUUAGAACGUCGUGAGACAGUUCGGUCCCUAUCUGCCGUGGGCGCUGGAGAACUGAGGGGGGCUGCUCCUAGUACGAGAGGACCGGAGUGGACGCAUCACUGGUGUUCGGGUUGUCAUGCCAAUGGCACUGCCCGGUAGCUAAAUGCGGAAGAGAUAAGUGCUGAAAGCAUCUAAGCACGAAACUUGCCCCGAGAUGAGUUCUCCCUGAGACUU